UAGAGCGAGAGCGAGAGAAUGCGCCCAGACAUGCAGCAAUGACGAGCAGAUGCGAAAUAUAGAAGAAAGUCACAAUAGCGGUUGUUAACUCACUUAGGAGCAAAGAAAAACUCUGGAAACUAUACCUACUGGAAGCGGAGAAGUGUUUGAAGACCUGUGAGUUGUUUUCGGCAGAGACUGUGUUUCAGAAAAAAAAGAUUCUCCACAAACAUCUGCACACGUCGGUAACAUCGUCAGGAUGAAGACCAUGGAGCAGUUUGACGAGGAGGAAGUGCAUCUCAUUGACAACAGUAACUUUGAACGCAUGAAGGAGGUAUGAGGUUCAACAAGGCGGCAACAGAAGACCUCAUCAAGCAAACCAGCGCUGGCCAUCUGAAGCAUGCACCACAGAGACGUCAGCAGUGAGGCGAGGCACCUGGUCGGUGAUGUGGCAGCCUUAGUUUCCUUUUUUAUCCUGUUGUUUCGUUUUGCAUCCUACAACACACAUCUCCACUCUCCACUCACACAACAUGCACCUCAUGCUUAUUUUACUGACAUCCACAUCCCAUGUUUUGUAAUCUUUUGUUGGACUUAUUU